GAUUAGCUCGGUUGGUUAGAGCUUGGUGCUAAUAACACCACAGUUGUGGGUUUGAUCCCCACAUGAUUCA
rnacentral:tRNA from 1 species